UAAUAUUUCCAUAACCUAAGGGGGCCAGGUUAAUACUCUGUAUGCUAGUAGUCCUAAAACCUCCCCUCCCCAACCUUCGUACUUCCCCCAGACCCCUUAAACCCAUAUUUGUGUCGCCGCCGUAAUCACCGUUUCCGGCACUCUUACAAAGUCCAAUUCUCUAAAUAGCUCUUAUGCAAUAUUAAGACUCUGUAAUCAUGAGGUGCUUCAAUCGAUUUAUCUCUCAUUCUCUAUCUCGCCGUUCCAGAACCAUUUCCACAUUUCAUCAAACACGUAAUGUGCAUUCUCUCUAUAGACGACUCCCUCAGUCCAAGAUUCAAAAUUUCUCCCAAACCCAUUUCUAUAGUUCAAAUUUCACUACGUCAGCUCAGGAAUCAAAGCCGGCCCCACCAGAGAGAGUAUCAGCGAUAGUCGAUGAGAUUUCGGGUCUAACGUUGCUGGAAGUAUCGGAUUUAGGUGAGGUUUUGAGGAAGAAAAUGGGUAUUGAAGAGAUGCCUGUAAUGGCAAUGAUGAUGCCCGGAAUGGGAUUUAGUGCUGGAGGGAUGAAAGGAAAGGGCGGGGCAGCUGCGGGGAAGGCAGAGGAGAAGGCGGAGAAGACUGUGUUUGAAUUGAAACUUGAAGGAGGAUUUGAUGCCGGGUCAAAAAUCAAGAUUAUUAAGGAAGUAAGAUCUUUUACUGAUCUGGGACUCAAAGAGGCUAAGGAUUUGGUGGAAAAGGCUCCGACUGUGUUGAAGAAAGGUGUUACGAAAGAGGAGGCUGAGAAAAUCAUUGAGAAGAUGAAAGGGGUUGGAGCUAAAGUCACUAUGGAGUGAGAGGAAGGGAUGCACUUUUUGUUGCAUUUGUAGAUGCCUUUUGGUAUAUUGCAACCUGAUUCAUUGGCUGAUUCCUUGAUUGUAUGUUUGCGACAAGGUUUGGGAGCUUAAAGGUCAUGAUUUUGUAACAGAAUCUACAUUUGGUGAUGCAUCAGGUUGGGAGGUUCAUGGUUACUAAGCAAGCACUAACAGCCCAGAGGCUAUCUUUUCUAGUUCGAAUAAAGGAGACCUUGAGAUUCCUAGGACCUUCUAGAGCUAUUUGGUUGAACUGACAUCUUAAGAUUGAUGCACAAUGUUAUAUAGAUUUGAUAGGUUAUGAGCUGAAAAGGCGAUCGUAUAUUUGUGACCAUGGGUUAGUUUUCCAUCCAGUAAGACCAAUUUGCACUUUUUAUUUAAAUUAUUUAGGCUCCAGUUGGUUUGAGAUUAUCAUGACAAGGUUCACACAGUGACAGAAAGCUUCUAUUCACAUUUCAAGUCAAAGAAUUUAGGAGUGAUGAUGUUUUCUUGGUUGGACCCUUUGCGAUUAUGCAUGAGGAAAUUUUGAGUAUGUCAUAUUUUUGUUUAUGA